UGAAAAGGCGGCGGAUGAACUGUGGGUAGCGGAGAAAUUCCAAUCGAACCCGGAGAUAGCUGGUUCUCCCCGAAAUAGUUUUAGGACUAGCCUCAAGUUAGAUACCUGGAGGUAAAGCACUGAAUAGCCUAGCGGCCGAGAGGUUAGCGAAGCUUAUCAAACUCAGAAUGCCAGAGUAUUGAUGCUUGGGAGUCAGACAGUGUCAGAUAAAUGUCAUUGUCAAAAGGGAAACAGCCCAGAUCUACAGCUAAGGUCCCAAAGUCAGGUUAAGUGGAAAACGAUGUGAAGAUACGCAGACAACCAGGAUGUUGGCUCAGAAGCAGCCACUCAUUCAAAGAGUGCGUAAUAGCUCACUGGUCGAGCGUCUUUGCGCGGAGAAUUUAACGGGGCUAAACCUGACACCGAAGCUUAGGCAAUCCAGCAAUGGAUUGGGUAGGGGAGCGUUGUAUACGCGGAGAAACAGUAGCGUAAGCGGCUGUGGAGUGUAUAGAAGUGAGAAUGCCGGAAUGAGUAGCGCGAAUGCAGUGAGAAUCUGCAUGGCCGAAAGCCUCAGGUUUCUGGAGGAAGGUUCGUCCGCUCCAGGUUAGUCGGGAGCUAAGGUGAGGCCGAAAGGCGUAGCCGAUGCACAGACGGUAGAGAUUCCGUCACCACCAAAAGAGUUAAGCACAGGGACACAUUUGAAGUCUCAGAGCCGGGUGUUGGUUCCGGUAGAGAUCGAGGGAAAUUAGUACCGAAGUCUGAGAUGGAAGAUGGCGAGAAAAGCUGUGUGUAUUUCUGAGGUGCCCGUACCGCAAACCGACACAGGUAGGUAGGAAGAAGAUUCUAAGGCCAACGGGAGAAGGGUUGUUAAGGAACUCGGCAAAUUGACCCCGUAACUUCGGGAGAAGGGGUGCUCCAGAGAUGGAGCCGCAGAGAAUCGGCCCAAGCAACUGUUUACCAAAAACACAGGUUUGUGCUAAAUCGAAAGAUGACGUAUACGAGCUGACGCCUGCCCGGUGCUGGAAGGUUAAGAGGAGAUGUGCAAGCAUUGAAUCGAAGCCCCAGUGAACGGCGGCCGUAACUAUAACGGUCCUAAGGUAGCGAAAUUCCUUGUCAGGUAAGUUCUGACCCGCAUGAAAGGCGUAAUGAUUUGGGCACUGUCUCAACAGCCCGCCCGGCGAAAUUGUAGUACCGGUGAAGAUGCCGGUUACCCGCGACAAGACGGAAAGACCCCAUGGAGCUUUACUGUAGCCUAAUAUUGGGUUUCGAUGUUGCAUGCACAGGAUAGAUGGGACACUGGGAAACAAUCGCUUUGGCGGUUGCGGAGUGGCCGUUGGGAUACCAUCCUUGCGAUAUUGGAAUUCUAACCUGCGGCUCUGAAUCGAGUCGGGGGACAUUGUUAGGUGGGCAGUUUGACUGGGGCGGUCGCCUCCUAAAGAGUAACGGAGGCGUUCAAAGGUUCGCUCAGCUUGAACGGAAAUCAAGCAAAAGAGUGCAAACGCAGAAGCGAGCCUAACUGCGAGACUGACGGGUCGAGCAGUAACGAAAGUUGGAGUUAGUGAUCCGGUGGUAUGUGAGUGGAAAUGCCAUCGCUCAACGGAUAAAAGUUACCCUGGGGAUAACAGGCUGAUCUCCCCCAAGAGUCCACAUCGACGGGGAGGUUUGGCACCUCGAUGUCGGCUCAUCGCAUCCUGGGGCUGUAUUCGGUCCCAAGGGUUUGGCUGUUCGCCAAUUAAAGCGGUACGCGAGCUGGGUUCAGAACGUCGUGAGACAGUUCGGUCCCUAUCUGUCGUGGGCGCAGGAUAUUUGAUGGGAGCUGUCCCUAGUACGAGAGGACCGGGACGGACGUACCUCUGGCGCACCAGUUGUUCCGCCAGGAGCAUAGCUGGGCAACUACGUACGGAUCGGAUAAACGCUGAAAGCAUCUAAGCGUGAAGCCGACCCAAAGAUAAGAUAUCCCAUUGU
rnacentral:rRNA from 1 species